rfam:Brassica rapa chromosome A1, whole genome shotgun sequence.
GAAAUAUAAGAAUCCACCUCUUAACUUUUAACUAAAAAAAUUCAGAAAAGAUUCUUAAAUAAUUAUUUUAAGAACCGAUUUAACUUUUUUAGUUAAAAGUUAAGAGACGAGUUCUUAUAUUCC